UACAGAGGGUGCGAGCGUUAAUCGGAAUUACUGGGCGUAAAGCGUGCGUAGACGGUUAUUUAAGUCGGGUGUGAAAGCCCCGGGCUCAACCUGGGAAUUGCAUUCGAGACUGAAUAGCUAGGGUACGGUAGAGGGAAGCGGAAUUUCCGGUGUAGCGGUGAAAUGCGUAGAUAUCGGAAGGAACACCAGUGGCGAAGGCGGCUCUCUGGGGUAUUUCUGACGCUGAG
rnacentral:rRNA from 1 species